GGGCCCUUAGCUCAUUUGGUAGAGCACCGCCUUUGCAAGGCGGGGGUGGUCGGUUCGAGCCCGACAGGGUCCACCA
rnacentral:tRNA from 1 species